rnacentral:rRNA from 1 species
AACGAACGCUGGCGGCAUGCCUAACACGUGCAAGUCGAACGAGACCUUCGGGUCUAGUGGCGCACGGGUGCGUAACGCGUGGGAACCUGCCCUUAGGUUCGGAAUAACUCCCCGAAAGGGGUGCUAAUACCGGAUAAUGUCUUCGGACCAAAGAUUUAUCGCCUUUGGAUGGGCCCGCGUUGGAUUAGCUAGUUGGUAGGGUAAAAGCCUACCAAGGCGACGAUCCAUAGCUGGUCUGAGAGGAUGAUCAGCCACACUGGGACUGAGACACGGCCCAGACUCCUACGGGAGGCAGCAGUGGGGAAUAUGGGACAAUGGGCGAAAGCCUGAUCCAGCAAUGCCGCGUGAGUGAUGAAGGCCUUAGGGUUGUAAAGCUCUUUUACCCGGGAUGAUAAGGACAGUACCGGGAGAAUAAGCUCCGGCUAACUCCGG